UUUUAUUUUUUAUUUUUGGUUACUUUGACGCCGCGGUAUAGAAGGGAGGAAAAAGAAGCGAGGCUCACUCGCUCCACCUUCCAUCCGCUUCAAGGGGAUUCCGGUUGUAAAUGCCAAGAGAUCGCUGAGCCUCCGUGCCAUCGGAGGAGGAAAACGCACACACGCGCGCGCACACGCUCCGGACCGCACUCCCCAGCCCUGCACCGAGCGCCGCCCGCCGGACGCCGGGUCCCUAUGCCCCUGGCCGGGGCCGGCGGAGUGGCCUUUCGGAAGCGAUGCGAGAGCGAUAAGGUUGGCGCGGGCCCGCGGGAGCUGCAGGAGCGUCGCUAGGUGUUGCCGCCACCGGGGAGCCGGGCUGCAGGAUGAGUAAGGGAUACUUACAGAAAGCAACAAAAGGAAAACUGCUAAUAAUAAUAUUUAUUGUAACCUUGUGGGGGAAAGUCAUAUCCAGCGCAAACCAUCAUAAAGCUCACCAUGUUAAAACGGGCACUUGCGAGGUGGUGGCACUCCACAGAUGCUGUAAUAAGAACAAGAUAGAAGAACGGUCACAAACUGUCAAGUGCUCCUGCUUCCCCGGGCAGGUGGCAGGCACCACGCGAGCUGCUCCGUCUUGUGUGGAUGCUUCCAUAGUGGAACAGAAAUGGUGGUGUCAUAUGCAGCCAUGUCUUGAGGGAGAGGAGUGUAAAGUUCUUCCUGAUCGGAAAGGAUGGAGCUGCUCCUCUGGGAAUAAAGUGAAAACAACUCGGGCAAACGUGUAAAACUCUUCAAAUUCGAAUGGAGGAGUAGAAAGAGAAGGUUCCUGCUGUGCCUGAUGACAAUUUUUUAAUAUCCACACUCAAAAUAUUCUGGCUCCACCACGGAGCACUAGUGUGAUGAAUCCUAGUGUUGGUCGGAUUCUAAGAAAGGGACAGAAGUUUCGUUGAGGAGUAGAGAUUCAAAACAACUCCAGAAAUGAGCUCUCACCUCGGUUCAUUUCUCCCAGAGCAGCAGGUAACACAUUAACUAAGAAUAAAUCAAGUGACCCUCAAGGCUGAUCACCUUGAACAUAUGCACAGAAACUUAACUUCUCUGGUGGUCUUGAAGAAAGAUUUUUAUACUGCUCCAAAGAGGCACUCCAGACUCUUAUUUCCAAGGGAUUUUAUGGCUUGUAAUCAGCAUCUUCUUGAAAUCAAGACUUUCAAAAAGUCAGACAUGAACUUCUGUGUCACGAAGAGUUCAUCAGAUUUGAACUGUGUUCAAGUUGUAAAAUUGCACUUCCUAAAAGAAUUUGAAGUCCUUAUCUGAAGAGUUGGUGUUUCCCGGGGAUGUCAGAGACACUGGCAUUUUGGGCUCCUGCCUCCAAAUGUGACUGCUUUUCUUGUUUUUGAAAGUCUCCCGAAUGCACUGGCCUUCUGUCAUGGAUGUGUUCCUGGGUCUGGUCCUGUGUUCAGUGGCUAGUGGGACUGUAUAUGGCUUUAGUGACUUUUGCAAACUUCUCUGGCAUGGUGUGGACUGAGAUCAUUUUAUUUGUAUCCUAAUCUUGGAGCUCUGAAAGCCUACAUGUUUUAACAUCUUAAAGUUGCUUUUGUUAAAGGAAUGGAAAAAUAUAUCCAUUGAUAAUCAUUAUUGUUGGCAAGUAAUAGUUAUCUGAGUACAUCAAUCACAUAAGAAUGUAUAGACUAGCUGACAUGUUUCCCCAAGGCUUACACACUACUGCAGCUCUGUCAGUUAAAUAGGUAGUAGUUAGAAUUGAAUUACCAUUUUCAUAGAAUCCUAUUUUGUACCUCUAAAGCCCUCUUUCUUUCUUUCUUUCUUUCUUUCUUUCUUUCUUUCUUUCUUUCUUUCUUUCUUUCUUUCUUUCUUUCUUUCUUUCUUUCUUUCUUUCUUUCUUUCUUUUUUAAAGUGGGUUGUUUUCUUUUGGUUUUAUGUUUACUUUUUUCCUUCACAGAAAUCAGCAGUGGGCAGUCAAGUAUUGAGUUAGGUAGCCUUCAGUUUCAAAAAUUGCCAGGGAUGCAUGUGGGUUUCUGAUUUCUUAGCUUGAAAGUUAUUCAUUUACAUUUGUUACAUUUUAAAACUGUUCUUUCUAUCUCAUUUUAGAAAGCUGUCUCUUGCUUGAUCCCAAUGACUGUUUGAAUGCUGUUUGUCCAGUCUGUGGAUAAAAUAAAUUGCUCAUUUUCCUUGGUAUCAAAUUUAUAAAUGUUUGCUUAUAGUUGUCCCAAGUGAACAAUUUCUUAGGUUAGUUUUUGCUCACAUUUUUGUAGUAAUCUGAACAUUUGUGGUUUUCAGUUCUAUAGGAAAAAUCAUAUAAAUAUUUAAAGGCCUUAAACAUGUAUGUACCUUUUUUCCUACAUUAUUACAGAAUGUAUACUUUUAUACUACAUUUAUUUUGUUUCAUUUAUGAUGUGAAGGGAGAGAAGAAUGGAAAUGGCUAAGCUAUUCUGUAAUAAUAUUGUAUAAACUUACAGUCUGAAGGAAUGUAAAUGGAGGAACUUCUGUGUUUUACUCAUCUUAGACUACUGGGAAGAUACUUCAGAAAUUGUCCUAUUAGAAAUCCCAUUAUGUUAGAGAAGGUGUGGACAUCCUUUGUGUUUCAUAAACUCACUGACGUGAUCAAUUGGGUAUAUGUUGUUUUCCACUAUGGAGGCAGAGCCGACUGAAGACCUUUGGUCUGUUAGUUGGUAACAAUUUCCAAAGACUGAUAUAAACUUUUCUGGGCAAAACUACUAAAAGUGGUAAAAUUUGUUAAAAGUUAAAUUUGUAAAGUAUGCUUUUGACACUGAACUAAACUAUACUGCCCUAUAAGUCAAUGAAAUGACAUAUUCCUUUUAUUUCAAUUAUACAUAAACCUAGAUGACUCCACAUGGAUUUUGCAAUGGUUCAAUACUAUAUGAACAUUAAGACAGGAAUAACAGUUGUGCUAGAGUUUCUGAAUCAAUUAUAUCAUUAAUUUGUUUGGAACAAAGAAGAAAACCAUAUUACUUUUGAAAUUAUGAAUUUGUUCUAGGUUGGUUUAAAAUUAUAGAUCAUGCCUCUCAUUUAUUAAACCAUGUCCUUUAAAACAACACUGAAAAUUCUGUACUAUAUAUGUGUAAUACAUGCAUAUCAAUAGGAAAAAAUAAAUGGAAUUUCAACUAUACUAACUAGAUUAUCCCUAAUAGAAUACUGUUGUGACUAUUCAGAAAAGUGAAUAAAAUUGGGAUAUAAAAUAGA